GUCUAUGGUCAUACCACCUUGAACGUGCCCGAUCUCAUCUGAUCUCAGAAGAAUAAAGCACUUAGCACAGUACCAGUCACAUAAUUGCUUCCAUGAGGAAAGACCUGAACUGAACAAUAGAUA
ensembl:rRNA 5S_rRNA 5S ribosomal RNA